GAUGAACGCUGGCGGCGUGCCUAACACAUGCAAGUCGAGCGAACCCUUCGGGGUGAGCGGCGGACGGGUGAGUAACGCGUGGGUAACCUGCCCUGUACACACGGAUAACAUACCGAAAGGUAUGCUAAUACGAGAUAAUAUAUUUUAAUCGCAUGGUUAAGAUAUCAAAGCUCCGGCGGUACAGGAUGGACCCGCGUCUGAUUAGUUAGUUGGUGAGGUAAUGGCUCACCAAGGCGACGAUCAGUAGCCGACCUGAGAGGGUGAUCGGCCACACUGGAACUGAGACACGGUCCAGACUCCUACGGGAGGCAGCAGUGGGGAAUAUUGCACAAUGGGCGAAAGCCUGAUGCAGCAACGCCGCGUGAGCGAUGAAGGCCUUCGGGUCGUAAAGCUCUGUCCUCAAGGAAGAUAAUGACGGUACUUGAGGAGGAAGCCCCGGCUAACUAC
rnacentral:rRNA from 1 species